CCUACGGGAGGCUGCAGUCGAGAAUCAUUCACAAUGGGGGAAACCCUGAUGGUGCGACGCCGCGUGGGGGAAUGAAGGUCUUCGGAUUUUAAACCCCUGUCAUGUGGGCGCAAAUUAAAAAGAUAGUACCACAAGAGGAAGAGACGGCUAACUAUGUGCCAGCAGCCGCGGUAAUACAGAGGUCUCAAGCGUUGUUCGGAAUCACUGGGCGUAAAGCGUGCGUAGGCUGUUUCGUAAGUCGUGUGUGAAAGGCGCGGGCUCAACCCGCGGACGGCAGAGGAUACUGCGAGACUAGAGUAAUGGAGGGGUAACCGGAAUUCUCGGUGUAGCAGUGAAAUGCGUAGAUAUCGAGAGGAACACUGGUGGCGAAGGCAGGUUCCUGGACAUUAACUGACGCUGAGGCACGAAGGCCAGGGGAGCGAAAGGGAUUAGAUACCCGGGUAGUC
rnacentral:rRNA from 1 species